rnacentral:rRNA from 1 species
GGAUUGAACGCUGGCGGCAUGCCUUACACAUGCAAGUCGAACGGUAACAGCACUUCGGUGGCUGACGAGUGGCGAACGGGUGAGUAAUACAUCGGAACGUGCCCGAUCGUGGGGGAUAACUACUCGAAAGAGUGGCUAAUACCGCAUACGAUCUACGGAUGAAAGCGGGGGAUCGCAAGACCUCGCGCGGACGGAGCGGCCGAUGGCAGAUUAGGUAGUUGGUGGGAUAAAAGCUUACCAAGCCGACGAUCUGUAGCUGGUCCGAGAGGACGACCAGCCACACUGGGACUGAGACACGGCCCAGACUCCGUACCGGGAGGCAGCAGUGGGGGAAUUUUGGACAAGUGGGACGAAAGGCCCUGGACUCCAGACAAGUGCCGCGUGCAGGAUGAAGGCCGUUCGGUUGUAAACUGCUUUUAGAACGGAACGAAAGUCUUACUCUAAUACAGUA